rnacentral:rRNA from 1 species
UCUGAAUCUGCGAACGGCUCCGCAAACCAGUUGUAAACCAUAGCAAGCAUGCCCUGGGUCUGCCGCAAGGUGGGUCCGGGGCUACAGGGAUAACCCUGGUAAUUCUGAGGCUAAUACAUGAACGUAACCCCUGGUCGAAGGGCAACCGGAGGCCGGGGACCGUGCGAGUGGGCGCAAGGAUUAUUGGGAAUAGUCGCACAGUAGGACCAUCAUAUCAAACGGUAUCUGCCCAUACUCCCUCACGGGAGUCGGUGGUGUCCGGGUGGCUCUUGCAAGGUGCUUCUGACCUAUCAACUAAAUGGCAGCGUAAUGGACAUGCUAUGGU